rnacentral:lncRNA from 1 species
UUUUCUGUAAUGACCCUGUUUUUCUGUAAUGGCCCUGUUUUUUCUGUAAUGGCCCUGUUUUUCUUGUAAUGGCCCUGUUUUUCUGUAAUGCCCUGUUUUUUCUGUAAUGGCCCUGUUUUUUCUGUAAUGGCCCUGUUUUUCUGUAAUGGCCCAGUAUUAAUGCCCAGUUUGUCUGUAUUAAGCCCUGUUAGGGUUUUUAAUAAAGUUAAUAAAACUAAGUUGUAAAGAGUAUAAUACCUUUUUGUAUUUUAUUUAAUUUAGUAACCAGCAACCAACAUUAAAGAACCAUAUAAACGGAUCACUGUUCAUCCUGUUUUUUAACACAUAUCUCUUUCAACUUAAU